rnacentral:tRNA from 1 species
GCCAUCAUAGUAUAGUGGUUAGUACACCACGUUGUGGAGGACCGUGGAAACCUCAGUUCGAUUCUGGGUGAUGGCA